rnacentral:tRNA from 1 species
GGCCCAAUAGAAUAGUGGUUAGUUCGGCGGGCUCUCAAUCCGCAAGCCGGGGUUCAAUUCCCCGUUGGGCCACCA